UAUCUCUGUAGAGUCUGCAUAUCAAUAAGCGGAGGAAAAGAAACUAACUAGGAUUCCCUCAGUAACGGCGAGUGAAGCGGGAAGAGCUCAAAUUUGAAAUCUUCAAGGUUCUACCUUGACGAAUUGUAGUUUAAAGAAGUGUUUUCUGUUGGAGUUUUGGUAAAAGUUCUUUGGAAUAGGACAUCAUAGAGGGUGAGAAUCCCGUAUUUGACCAUUAUUUCCAGCUUUGUGAUACACUUUCAAAGAGUCGGAUUGUUUGGGAAUGCAGUCCAAAUGGGUGGUAAAUUUCAUCUAAAGCUAAAUAUUGGCGAGAGACCGAUAGCGAACAAGUACCGUGAGGGAAAGAUGAAAAGAACUUUGAAAAGAGAGUUAAACAGUACGUGAAAUUGUCAAAAGGGAAGCGUUUGACACCAGUGUUGUUUUCUCGAAAAUCAAUUAAAAAUGGCGGGAUUUUGUGUUGUAUUGACUUUAUCAGCUUUCUGCACUCUUUUCCUGUCUUUUUUAAUGCACUUUUCGUUUAACAAGUCAACAUCAAUUUCUUUUGUUGUAAAAGAGUCAUUGGAAGGUGGCUUUCUUUUCGGAGAAAGUGUUUAUAGCCUUUGGCUUCUGCAAUCGGAGAGAUUGAGGUCUGCAGCGUAGAUCCUUCGGGGUUAGAUACAUUUGUGCUAAGUUAUAGCCUUUCAUAGACAACUUGUUGACUAUGAUCAGUCAUGUAGCUUACUCGCUUAUGCUAUUUUACCUACGCUUAGGAUGUUGAGUCAUCACACAUCUCU
rnacentral:rRNA from 1 species